UACGUAGGUCCCGAGCGUUGUCCGGAUUUAUUGGGCGUAAAGCGAGCGCAGGUGGUUUAUUAAGUCUGGUGUAAAAGGCAGUGGCUCAACCAUUGUAUGCAUUGGAAACUGGUAGACUUGAGUGCAGGAGAGGAAAGCGGAAUUCCUAGUGUAGCGGUGAAAUGCGUAGAUAUUAGGAGGAACACCAGUGGCGAAGGCGGCUUUCUGGACUGUAACUGACACUGAGGUACGAAAGCGUGGGGAGCAAACAGG
rnacentral:rRNA from 1 species